CGGAUAAAGACGGCCUAUACCAGGGGUGGGCAAACUUUUUGACUCGUGGGCCACAAAAGAUUCCAAAAUUUGAUGGAAAGGCCGGACCAGGAGCAGAUGCAUGGAGUUUUUUGCGUCGACGUUGUGAGUCAGAAGAACCACAAACCUGCACCGUGUGAGCUGAACCUGCAGGGCUGGGUCUGGACUAGUCUGAGGGACAUGCAAAAAUGAAAAGGCUACCUGCACUUUAAUCCAAAUGAGCCAGGCUGGUGCCACCUUGUGCCUCCACUCAAUAAAAUUUCUCUCCAGCGACUAUGUCAGGAAUCAGAAUACACUAGGCGG